rnacentral:lncRNA from 1 species
AUGAUGUUCGUGUCGAGGCUGUUUCUCGUUUGCCUUUUGGCUGCUCUCACGGCUCAGAUCUCCACAAGUCCAGUCCCUGCGAACUAUGACGAACCGGCCGAAGGACAGACUGAUGGGGUUUACGAUGAAACCGCAUAUGCUGAGCCCGUGAACGACGAAACCGAUGACGCACCAACCAAUGACUACAGCGACGGUAACGAAGACACCGCUGCUGAAAUCACCGAUGAAGCAACCGCCGAUUCAACGCACGAAGAAGUUACCGAAGCACCUAACUUCGACGCAACCGAUGGGACCAUCGACGAUUCCAUCAAUGAGAUACCUGACGGUGAGCAACAACUGGAGGGUCGCGAUCUUUUCACCCCGAGCAGACAGUUCCGCGUCUCGAGCAGGAGUGCUCCACAGGAGUCAACGGACGUAGAUGCUAAGCCGGCCAUGGAUAUCACACCUAUCCUCAAGAUGUCUCACAAUGCAAUGCUGCAGACAGUGCGCAGUGCACGCUCCGGCACGAACGCGGCUUACAACGUCAUGGACAAGACCCUCGAGCUACUCCAAUCCCUCCACGAACGGAAGAAGCAGUUGGUCAAGGACUACGUGAAACCAGUUGCAUCAACGGGGAUCAGCAAGGCUAUCGAUACGGUGGAUAGUGGGCUGGACACCACCUUGAGCGGCAUAAAGAUGGGGGUCAAGCAAGGGCGCAGUCUGGCCGAAGGCACCUUGACCGAUAUCGAGGGUCGACUACAGAGGGGCGAGUCCAUCCUACCGGCAGGAGUACAAGAUGGAUUUGAUAGGGUCAGCAAGGCUAUCGGAGCUUGGGUAAACGGAAACAGACCUUCCGAAGUAGAUGAGGAUUCAGAGGAAGACCUGAGGCAGGAGGAAGAAUUGAGGAUGAAGCAUGACGAGGAAUUGGCCCGGCAGGAGAGGGAGGCACAAGAACUGAGGUACGAGGAAGAACUGAAGUACGCACAAGCACUGAAAGCCGCGGAGGAAAUGAAAGCUGCACAGGAACUGAAAGCUGCGCAAGAAGCGAGGGAACAAGAACUGAGAGCUGCGCAAGAAGCAAGGGAACAAGAACUGAGAGCUGCACAGGAACUGAAAGCUGCGCAAGAAGUGAAAGAGCAAGAGCUGAAAGCUGCAAAGGAACUAGAGCGAAAACAGCAGGCACUAAAAGAGGCCCAAGAGGCGCAGGCAGCGAAAGCUGCUAAAGAAGCCAUUGUUCCGGUCACCUCAACCGCUAGACGCGCGGGUCGUAUGCUAAGUCAAAGUCAACAAGGUGGUCGGGCUCAAGUAGGUAAUUCAAGUCCAACUGCAAGGAGGUCUUUCAGAUUCCCGCGAUCCUUCCGUUUGACAAAUUAA